rnacentral:sRNA from 1 species
CCUGCACUGCGAAAAGAGCUGUGUGCGUUGACCCGGUCCUUUCGGUUCCGGAUUCCUCAGCCCCCAGCCCCCCGGGGUCGACGGGAUCGGGUCUGUACGCGCGACAAGGAGGGCCAACGCGAGUUGGUCCUUUU